AUUUUCUUUUGACCUCAGUGUAUGUUUUUAUUCUUCUAGAUGGAGAAUCUUCUGACUGCAAGAUAUUUGAAUGUUGAUUGAAAGUAUUCAGUUUGUGAUACAGGAAUCAUGCAUUUGGGAGUUAUGGAUAGACUGGAAGAAAAGAAAGAGAGGGAAUAUUCCUAUUACUGACAAAUACGUUAGCAGGAGCUAACACAGUGUGAGGUGACAGUGUGUCCAGGACACAGCAUGAUACAGCAUCUGGAAUACUUUGGUGGGCAGCACACCUAUAGAUUGAGAGUUGCAGAACAACUGAACAGCAGAAAGCCAAAGCCUGAAACUAAACAGCAUUUCAAACAAUUAACUGACAUCCCCAAAGCUGACUGGAAGCAUGAACCUUCACGAAACACUGGUACUAAACAAUUAC